rnacentral:miRNA from 1 species
CCUGGGGAGUUAUACAUUU